GAGCUCUUUCUCUGAUUGGGUGUUUCUGCGAAGGAGAUGAGAGGUUACUCGUGGCUGAGUUUAUGCCCCAUGAAACUCUCGCUAAGCAUCUUUUUCACUUCGAUCAGAGGACAAAACUAAUUUAAUUGAGGAAGUAUCUUGGUUUGAUUAUGGACACAGAGGGAUGCAGGUUUGGUAUCCUUCUUUGGGUGCUGACCCUUUUAAGCAGGAGGAUUUCUUACAGGUACGUAUUCUUUGGUGCUAGAAGCCACAGGUUUUGCAUAUAAUAAAAGCUUAUCUUCUUUGUUAGCAUUUUUUUUUCCUUAUUUUUCAAUUUCCCCCUUCCCUUAGUGUGCAAUUUUAGUUCCUUUCCAGGUGAGGUCACUAUCUACUAAAUUGCUGGCUUCUGUAUUCAUUCAAGUAUUAUUUUAUUUUAUUUUUAAUGGAAAAUCAUUUUUCUUUUAAAAAAGAAACAUAAUAAGGUUUUGUAAGUUAUGAAAUUAUUUUUAUUGCCUUUUAAGGCAUCUUCUUCAGGUACUAUUUUCUCUUUCCUUUAUAUGAAAGUGAAGGUCCAAUGUUUCUUUUACUGUCCAAUUAUGGAAUUCUCUUGUACUAUAUAUAAUAUUGUCUACCUUCUAUUGAAAUUUGAAAAGAAGAUGUCAGCUCGUGCGCUUAAUUACUAGCCCACAAGGUUGGAAUAUGACUUGAAGCCCUUUGUUAGAUUAGGUUCAAGCAUAUGUGUUUAGUUUGGGGCGUUAUUGCAUAAGUGUCUAUGAAUUGCCUCUGGUUACCAAAAUUAUAUUCUGUUGGCUUUGCAGCUUUUUAAUUUUGUUUGUUGUUAUUCCUGAUCUUUCUUGAAGAUAUUGUACUUAAUUCUGAUUUUGUAUUCAGAGGGACAAACGCAAAGAAGCUUUGAGGCUGGUUCCGUUAUCAGCAGAGAAGCCUCAUUUUUCUCACUGUUUGGAGUGGCUUCUCUUUAGGGUGUUUGAUGCAGAAAUAUCCAGGUACAUUCAAUGAGAAUAAAAUUACCUCAAAAGUACAAUGGUUCUGUUUUUGGCCAUUAUCUAAAUGGAGUAAUGUUUAUAGUAGUUUUGUUAAGCAAAACAUUACUGGGUCUUUUUGCUAACGUGGUUACCCUAGUUCUCUAUCUUUGUCAGUGCUGCUAUGUAAUGUUUCAUAGUUGAAGUCUAGAACCUCUUCUAUUUGUUAGGCCUCUUUUAACCCUAGUUAAGGUAUGAAGUGAUCCAAGGAGCAGGUUUUAAGGUAUUGUCAGAUGCGCAGGUGAUAUUUCUGCAGUUAGUAAAAAUAGUUAAAAUGUAUGAGAAUCAAUUAAUAUUUGAUGAAAAUUAAUUUGGCUGCAAAACAUGUCUAGUUUGUUAGCUAGGUAUUUUUGUGGAAUGAAAUCUGGAAUUUACUUCCUGGUGCCCUUUGUUAAUUAUUUACUUGUCAAGACUGUUCAUGCUACCUAUGUGUGAUCACACUAGAAUUUCAUGUAUUUGUUCAUGUGUAAUUUACGUGCAGGCAAAGUGUGAACAAGAAUCAGAUAACCGUUCCUAAUUCCAAAACUUUCUCUCUUCUAGAUAAGACAUGUGAAUUAAUCAGAAAUUUUCUGAAGUAU